AUGUGUAGUGGGUAGUGUCGCGACUUAUUUCCCGAGGAGGCAUUUCUCGUACACACCGGGCCCCAGCCGUGGAGAGAGGAGGCUGCUGUGUUAUUUUUGUGAUUUUUGAAGCGAAUUAUCCUGUUGCCGAGGGAGCCAUGCAUCUGGAAACGGCCAGGGAAGGAGACGGUGGCUGAGUGUUUAGCGUGCCGGUCCUGCGUUUGCCGCAUCAUGGAUGAGGAGGGUUUGAAUCCACCACUGCCACAGUCUACCUGUCCUGAAGACCACCACCAUCAUCCUGGACUGUAUGGGACUGUCCAAGGGAAAGCAAGAUGGGGCCGCUAUAAACACUUGCCGGCUUGGGCCCACCACCAGGCCCAGCCAAGGGAGGUUGGUGUAGCAGUGCCGGGAGGUUCCAUAACACAGGGCACUCCUCACCUCAACAACAGUCUCUUCACCGACAAGUAAUUCUUCACCAACAAGCUUUUCAGCAGCUUGGAGAAAUAGAGGAAGAAGAGGAGGAAGAAGAAGAGAAGAUGAAGAGGAAGAAGAGGAGGAGGAGGAUAAGGACUUGGUUGGUGUAGCAGUGCUGGGAGGUGCCAUAACACAGGGCACUCCUCACCUCAACAACAGUCUCUUCACCGACAAGUAAUUCUUCACCAACAAGCUUUUCAGCAGCUUGGAGAAAUAGACACUACCAAACGAAGAAGAGGAGGAGGAGGAGGAAGAAGAAGACGAGGAACACAGGAGGAACCCAUUGGUGAGUGUUAAUUUAUUUUUUUCUAAAAUGGUUAACGAGCAAUCAAGGAAUUUUUAUAAUAAGGAGGGAAAGUGUGAUGUUUU